rnacentral:tRNA from 1 species
UGUCUCAGCCUGUAAAGAAUCUGCCUGUAAUGCAGGAGACCCAGGUUCAAUCCCUGG